rnacentral:lncRNA from 1 species
CUAUCACCCCUUUCACAUACUUACUUCUUUCGUGGUGGGAGUUGUAGUCCAAAACACUUGGAGGGCCCAAGUUGGACCAUGCCUGGGCUAAUAAUAAUAAUAAUAAUAAUUAAUGAGACUAGCCGACAGUCUGCCCAUCGGCAGACUAGCCGAUGGGAAUAAUAUCGUUGGUGAUGAUCAUCAUAGAGGCUGGAAUCCCAAAAGAUAAUAAUAUAAUAAUGACAAUGAUAUGAAUAAUGGGAACAUAGUGCUGAUGGUAAUAAUAAUAGUUGUUGUUGAUGAUGAUGAUGAUAAUAAUAAUAAUAAUAAUGAUAUGAAUAAUGGGAACAUAGUGCUGAUGGUAAUAGUAAUAGUUGAUGAUGAUGAUGAUGAUAUGAAUAAUGAGAACAUAGUGCUGAUGGUAAUAAUAAUAGUUGGUGAUGAGGAUGAUAGUGAAUUGUAAUGUCUGAUUCUGCUGAGUGCGGUUUAUAUUUUUAUUGUGGUACAAUAGUCUUUUUUUUUGCCUGUGUAGGUGUUUAUUAUUAUUGUUGUUGUAGUGAUUAUGAAGGUUGGAUAGGUUAGAUGCUACUGUAUUGUUUUUUGGAGGCCCAGUGUAGCACUGACUGGCCUCUCAGCCUCAGUGCCUGGCUGUUUCUUGCCUGUGAUGGUGUUGAUUCUUAUUGUUGUUGUUGUUGUCAUUGUUAUUAUUGUAAUUGUUUUUUUGGAGGCCAAGUGUGAAUGUAGGGAUUGGGGAGGUGGAUGAGUUGUGUUGUCAAAUG